UAGGGAAGUCUUCCACAAUGGACGAAAGGUCUGAUGGAGCAACGCCGCGUGAGUGAAGAAGGGUUUCGGCUCGUAAAACACUGUUGUAAGAGAAGAAUGACAUUGAGAGUAACUGUUCAAUGUGUGACGGUAUCUUACCAGAAAGGAACGGCUAAAUACGUGCCAG
rnacentral:rRNA from 1 species